UACGUAGGUGGCAAGCGUUAUCCGGAAUUAUUGGGCGUAAAGCGCGCGCAGGCGGUCCCUUAAGUCUGAUGUGAAAGCCCACGGCUCAACCGUGGAGGGUCAUUGGAAACUGGGGGACUUGAGUGCAGAAGAGGAGAGUGGAAUUCCACGUGUAGCGGUGAAAUGCGUAGAGAUGUGGAGGAACACCAGUGGCGAAGGCGACUCUCUGGUCUGUAACUGACGCUGAGGCACGAAAGCGUGGGGAGCAAACAGGAUUAGAAACCCCAGUAGUCC
rnacentral:rRNA from 1 species